GAGCAAAUUGUGUAAAAAAUAGGCAGCACGAUACGAACCCUAAAAAUUCCUGAACCCUAACCGAGGAAACCCUGAAACCGUCUAAAACCCUAACUUGGAAUGGCAAACGCUACUUAUACAAAUCUUACACUCAGCCUUUCACAACAGAUCAAAUUUCCUCAUCGCGCAGCAUGAGCGGAGUAGUUUGCAUGAUUUCAUCCUACAGAUUUCGGGAUUUUGGGUUGGAUCCUUUGCUCUGCAGCUGUGUAGUAGAGGUGGUUUCUAAUUAGCUCGAUCCUAUGCUACAUAUGUUACAGUAUAUUGAAUUGGAUGCAAGUGAUGAAGAAAAGAAUAGGGACAUCAGAACUCCUUGCGAGAGUGUUGACAUAUUCUUGGGAAUCUCUCUGAUGCACAAAUAUUGUAUUAGAGUUCUUUGUAGUAUGUCUUAUUUUGCCUCUUAAUUUGUCAAAACCUUCCGUUUUCAGAUUUCCAACAAGAAAACUUCGUGCAGUUUAAUUAAUAGUAGCAACAAUGUACAUACUAUAACUAUAGAGUUUGCAAUUGAAGCCUGUUAAAGUGUUAAAUUCUAAAUUUAGGGGUGAUGGCUAAUGACGAUAAAUCUUAUCUUAGCGGAUUUCUCUGAGAUCAUUCUUUUAAUGAAAGAAGAUGAAUUGUUUGUUACACAUUCUGAAGCUAUACGAAUGCAUGUUCUAGUUUAGGUUGUAGGAUAGGAUAAUAUCAUACAGUCACCAUAGUAUAAUAUUUUCUUACCAUACGAGUGAUUGAACAAUAUGAUACAGGCCACUAUACUAAUAUUUUGAGGAUUUUCUCUAUAAAAAGGGAUAUAGAUAACUCUUUCA